AUGGACGCGGCCGUGUCCCUGCACCACCAUGGGGCGCUCCCCGCCACCGCCGCCUCACUCCCGCCCCACCACCACCACCGCGCGCUCCACCUCAGGCACCCGCGUCACUCCUCCGUCUCCACGCGCCUAGCCGUGACCGCGGCGCCGUCCAGGGCGCCCCGCUGCUCCUCGUCGGCCUCCGGCGCUCCGGCGCACCCGGCGCAUGCCAGCACCAGCACCACCAGCAGCCGCGCCGCCACGGGGUACGCGGCCGCGCUGGCCGACGCGUCGCUCCGCGCGGGCACGCUGCCCGGGGCCGCCCGCCACGCGCGCGCCCUGCUCCGGCGCCUGAAGGAGCCUCCCCGCGGGCAGCGCCUGGAGGAGCCCGACGCGCGGGUGGGCGCCCUGGUGCGGCUGCUCGUCGGCAAGGGCAAGGCCGGCAUGGUCGCCGACGUCAUGGCCGAGUUCGCCGCCCUCUGCGACCACCUGCUCGCCCCGCCGCCGUCCUCGACCUCCAGCAAGCGCGCCCACGCCCAGGCCCACUAG
rnacentral:rRNA from 1 species